CGUAGAACGAGUACAUUUUUACAUUAAGUUUAAGUGUUGUUUACCGUUGGUGAACGAGCUCCCUUCUUUCGGCAACAUGUCUACCAGUAGCAGGGAAAGAAGAGUUGGAGUAGACAGAAUUUUAAGUAAAGUAAAAUUUAAUAUCGAGACUGGUCACUAUUAUGAAGCCCACCAGAUGUACAAAACACUAUACUUCAGAUAUCUUACACAGAAGAAGUACAAUGAGUUGUUAGACCUGCUCUAUGAUGGGUCUGAUAUCCUUUUGAAACAUCAUCAGGUAAUCGU